UAUUAAUAACCUUCAUCAGUAAUAAAUCAAAGAUUUAGAACAUAUGGUAGAUGAUAAAACUUUUCAACUAUAGUUGCAGCGAAACGAGCAAUCCAUUAGAAGAGUCGAAUAGAUUAUAAAGUCUAUUAUCUUCUCCACAUUAAAAGUCCACCAACAAUAUUUUAACCUUGUAACAUCAAUCAACAGUUUCUGUCCACAAUCGUGUGAAAAACUCAUAAUCAUAUUUGUAGUUCUAAAUUCCUCUUCUCAUCCAAGACGAAGAUAAUUUUCAUCACAUGUAUUUACCUGAAACAUCAAAGAUCAUAGUUAUACCAAAUCACAGUUCAUGUUCAUAAUCAUACUAAUAAAUUCAUCUUUGUACCACGAGCCAAAGUUAUUCAUCUACAGUUCAUCUUUGCACUACAUGCCAAAGAUAUUCAACAACAGAUCAUCUUUGCACUACGGGCCAAAUAUAUUCAUCAAUAAUUGAUCUUUGCACUACAGGCCAAAGAUAUUCAUAUCUCAAAGAAACAUAUAAUCAUUUUAGAAUUUAUAUAAACAAUAAUUAUAACUAUAUUGAUCAAUUCACAUUUACACUUAAGUUAAAGAUUCAAUUAUACAAGACACUCAAAAAAUUUACACUGAAAGACACUCAAGAAGGUGACGAUUUAAGUGGUCCUUCCUUCCGUAACUGGAGUGAAUUCAGGCGGUGGUGGCGAUGGAUAUGAAUAUUGGAUGAUGGUAACCAAACCUUCAUACCAAGGUAACCAAACUGUCAUAUCAAAGUAACCAAUCAACCUCCACACUUUAAAUUUUUUUCUUAGUACAGUUGGUUACCAAACCUUUAGAUCAAGGUAAGCAAACUUUCGUACCAAGGUAACAAAACCUUCAUACCAAAGUACCUAAUUCACAUCCACACCUGCAUUUUUUAAUAGUGCAGUUGGUAGCCAAACCUUCAGACCAAGGUAACCAAUUCAAUUUUAUUAAGUUACCAAUUUCGUUUGAAUGUGAUGCAGUUGGUUGUCAACCAUUCAUACAAAGGUAACCAUUUUAUUAUUUAUGAGUAACAAAAUAGUUAUAAAAAAAAAUUCAGAACAUUAAAAGUUACAUCUAUUUAUUUUUAAACUUUUUGUAAGGCGAAUCUUCUUUUUAUUCUCAUUGGCAUUUUGGACAAGGGAUAUUCGCGACGGUGUAGCGGUAGAGUAUGUGCGGUGCGGCGGUGUAGCGACGGUGUAACGGCAGUGUAGCGACGGUGUAACGGCAGUGUAGCGACGAAAAUUCGCGACGGUGUAGCGACGGAGUAUGUGAGGAAAAUGAUGAUUUGAAUUUGAAUAUUUAAAUUUAAAUUAUAAUUUUGAAUUUAUUUUUGUUGUUAGAUCCAAAUAUUUGAAUUUGAAUUAUUAAUUAUGACAGUUAUUUGUCCUUGAUUUUAGGUUUCUUUAUUAAUGUGAAUUGUAUUAUUUUUAUAAUAUGGGUCCUAAUUACACUCUUUUGAUAAUUAUUUAGUUGAUGCAUUUUUCUUGUAAUUACUUUCUAUUUGUUGUAUACUUAUGUAAAGGACCCAUUAUAUAAUCCAAAAAGCUAAAAUUCUAAAAUCCAUAUCCAAAGAAAAUGGUUAAUUAAAACCUUCAACCUUGUAGUUAUUGACCUUCCAGAAAAAACUCUAUCUGCAAAUCAAAAAAACAUAUAGACAUAAAUCGGUUAAAUAGUUAUAAAAUUAAAAAAGAUUUAUUGCAGAAUCUUCGCAAGGAGAUAGAUGCUUAAAAUUAGUAUUGAGAUGUUUCUAAUCAACUUAACAGUACUCCACACUUUUAACCCUAGGGCAUUAUUGUUUAAAAAAAAUGACACAUCAUAUAUGCACAACACAAAACAAGUCGAGCGAGCUGAAAUUGAGAAGACUACAAUAAUAAAAGCGUUGUAAUUAAGCCAAUAACACUACCACUGUUAAAAAUUAAAGAAAAUUCAAAUAUUCUUCUUCAACACUCAAGACAACAAAAAAUGAAACCAACUAUGAGAGCUUAACAGUUCUUUAGUUUCGUGCCUGAAGUAAAAAAAGUAAUAUAGAGAAAAAAUUUAGAAUUCAAACUCCAUUCAAGUCACGAAAUUUUAAGCUGCUGCGUUUAAAUAAUAAAUUGUGAAUUUUCCAAAACUAUAGCUAUAACAUUACUAAAAAACUUAUGCUAUCUUUUUAGGCCCAUAAAUAUGGAACAAUAAUAUUAUUAGUCAAAUGCAAUCAAGUAAUUAAUGAUCUUAAGCUCAAAUUCACCAAACAGUUAACUUCAAACAAUAAAAGAUUAUUAGAAUGAAAGUAGUACAAAAGUACAAGUUUAGAACACUUACAAUCUCAUCACCUCUUCCGUGUUGCAAUUCAUCACUUGUUCUGCAGUCAGCGAAU
rnacentral:lncRNA from 1 species